rnacentral:rRNA from 1 species
CAGUCGCCGCGGUAAUACGUAGGGUGCAAGCGUUAAUCGGAAUUACUGGGCGUAAAGCGUGCGCAGGCGGUUCUAUAAGACAGAUGUGAAAUCCCCGGGCUCAACCUGGGAACUGCAUUUGUGACUGUAGAGCUGGAGUGCGGCAGAGGGGGAUGGAAUUCCGCGUGUAGCAGUGAAAUGCGUAGAUAUGCGGAGGAACACCAAUGGCGAAGGCAAUCCCCUGGGCCUGCACUGACGCUCAUGCACGAAAGCGUGGGGAGCAAACAGGAUUAGAUACCCGUGUAGUCCCUGUCUCUUAUAC